UACAGAGGUCUCAAGCGUUGUUCGGAUUCAUUGGGCGUAAAGGGUGCGUAGGUGGCGCCGUAAGUCAGGUGUGAAAUUUCGGAGCUUAACUCCGAAACUGCAUUUGAUACUGCGGUGCUUGAGGACUGGAGAGGAGACUGGAAUUCACGGUGUAGCAGUGAAAUGCGUAGAGAUCGUGAGGAAGACCAGUGGCGAAGGCGGGUCUCUGGGCAACAACUGACGCUGAGGAGCGAAAGCGUGGGGAGCGAACAGG
rnacentral:rRNA from 1 species